rnacentral:rRNA from 1 species
GAGGAACGCUGGCGGCGUGCCUAAUACAUGCAAGUCGAGCGAACAGACGAGGAGCUUGCUCCUCUGACGUUAGCGGCGGACGGGUGAGUAACACGUGGAUAACCUACCUAUAAGACUGGGAUAACUUCGGGAGACCGGAGCUAAUACCGGAUAAUAUAUUGAACCGCAUGGUUCAAUAGUGAAAGACGGAGGGUCGGGCACUUAUAGAUGUAUCCGCGCCGCAUUAGCUAGUUGGUAAGGUAACGGCUUACCAAGGCAACGAUGCGUAGCCGACCUGAGAGGGUGAUCGGCCACACUGGAACUGAGACACGGUCCAGACUCCUACGGGAGGCAGCCGUAGGGCCUCUUCCGCGCUGGCCCGGCGCCUGCCGUCGCCCCGCCGCGUGCGUGCUGAAGGUCUUCGGAUCGUAAAACUCUGUUAUUAGGGAAGCCCAACUGUGUCCGUCCCUCUGCCCGUCUUGCCGGUCCCUCCUCCGCCCGCCACGGCUCCCUCCGUG